rnacentral:lncRNA from 1 species
CGCCCCUCUUUUCUUUGAAGACCCACUUACACUCUAUGGGUUUAACUCCUUCAGGUGAGUCAACUAAUGUCCAUACAUCAUUGACCUUCAUGAACUUCAUUUUGAAUUUCAUAACUUCAAGCCAUUUAUCAGAGUCAGACUUCUGCAUUGCAUCCAUACUGGUGAUCGAAUUCUCAUUAUUCUCAUCGAGUUCAACAGGAUCUCUAUCCCAAAUCAAGAAAUCAUAGUAUCUGUCUGGUUGAUGUGAUACUCUAUCGGAUCUCCUUAAUGGUACCUUUACAAUGAAUUUUAGAUUUGAACUCAUCAAAUCUGAUUCUGUGGGUUCACUAGACUGUGUCGGUUGUACCUAUUAAACUUCUUUAAGUUCAACCUUAGAGGCAUUAAUCCCUUUCCUAAAGAAUUUUUUUUCUAAAAAGACUGCCCUAAGACUGACAAACACUUUUUGUUCAUCAGUAAGGUAGAAAUAAUACCCCUUGAUUUUUUUGGGAUACCCAAUAAAAUUAUAUCUAUCAGACCUGGCUCUUAGUUUGUCCAUUUUCAACCAUUUGACAUAAGUCGGACAUCUUCAAACCC